rnacentral:rRNA from 1 species
AACGAACGCUGGCGGCAUGCCUAACACAUGCAAGUCGAACGAGACCUUCGGGUCUAGUGGCGCACGGGUGCGUAACGCGUGGGAACCUGCCCUUAGGUUCGGAAUAACUCCCCGAAAGGGGUGCUAAUACCGGAUAUUUUCUUGGACCAAAAGAUUUAUCGCCUUUGGAUGGGCCCGCGUUGGAUUAGCUAGUUGGUAGGGUAAAAGCCUACCAAGGCGACGAUCCAUAGCUGGUCUGAGAGGAUGAUCAGCCACACUGGGACUGAGACACGGCCCAGACUCCUACGGGAGGCAGCAGUGGGGAAUAUUGGACAAUGGGCGAAAGCCUGAUCCAGCAAUGCCGCGUGAGUGAUGAAGGCCUUAGGGUUGUAAAGCUCUUUUACCCGGGAUGAUAAUGACAGUACCGGGAGAAUAAGCUCCGGCUAACUCCGUG